CCAGUCCGGGUUGUUACAUUCCCUGGGGGCUCUGACCACCACAGGAUCCAUGCCUAUGUAAGCAAGGAAGGCAACCUCCUCUUGGGAGUCAUAUGCCAUGAGGCCCAGUAACUCCAUGCAUUCUAAAUGUGUCAGAGCACGAAGAUGUCAGAUUCAGCAGGGAGCUGUCCCUUGUCACUCCUUCUCAUUUCUCUGCUCUUCAUCCCUGUGGCUGCCUUGGAGGAAAACAUAAAACCUUCCAGACUGUUUCUAAUUGCAUAAUCCCAGGCCCCUGGACCUGCUGCCACUCUGUGUCCUGCCUCUGCUCAGGCCCUCUUCCUGGUUCAGGCACAGAAUGCCAACCUGACUCCCAGCGUGGAAACAAAUUAGUUUCUGAUGGAAAGGGAUUUGACUCAGAAGGAGAGAAAAUGCUUUGAGGACACUCCAGCAAAGGAAGCCUCUUUACCACCAGGUGGUCACCAAUAAUCUCUAAGAAGAUGCGAGUUACCUUAUAGUUGUAAACAAUUGUAGUAUCAGAUCUUUUCAAAAAGAACACAGCAGAGACAUCGGUUCAACGUUGGAGAAAUAGGAAAGAUUUCAUGCCAUCAAAUCAGGGAGGCUCUUGAAACAUCGCUGACGUCCUAAUCUCCUUUUUCAGGUUUUUAAACAUCUAAGAAUACCAGGUAAAUUUAUCAGUACUUAUCUGGCAAAGAAGAGAGAGGGGGAGUAUGUAUGAGCAUGGAGAGAAUAAACUCUGCGUAAGUUUUCCAGCAUCUCAUGGCAAGUUGAGGGACAUUUAAUAAAAUUAAAAGGGAAUAAAGCUUAACUCUUCUAACUACUAUUUAUAAUGUUGCUAUUGUUAACCAACUUUGACCUUGAUUAAAGAGAGAUUGUUAGGUGUCCUCUUAUUGGAAAAAAUAUCCUUCUGAAUUUGUUCGCUGAAGGUUUUACUUUGUAAAUCAGAGGGAUAUACGAUAGAUACGCUCAUUGAAAUCCUUUUGCUUUAUUCAAUACAUUGUAUCAAUUUUGUAUAGAUGUCAACUUCUUAGAUGUGCGUGUAUCAUCAAUUUUCACUGAGUUUUUGGCGUUAUGUUACAGAUUUUGUGAUUAUAAUGUUACCCUAUUCUCCAGAACAUGAACGUGAAUCUCAAGAGUAGUUAUUAGCUAAAUAAGAUUUUGAACAAAAUUAAAGAGCAUGGCACAUUACUUUGAGUUAUGAAGGGUGUUACUUGAUAUCUUUGUAAUACCAGAAAGAGUGGUAGGAAAUAUAACAGGGGUUCUUAACUUGUGUGUGUGUGUGUGUGUGUGUGUGUGUGUGUAU